AUGAGUGUGCGUGUGGAUGUGUGCGCGUGUGCGCGCGUGCGUGCGCGCGCGCCGAGGGCGAGCCUGGCGAGCCGCGGGGAGGCAGAUGCGCCCCGGAGCGGCUCACUCGGAGACUCGGUGGGAUACUGUCCGCCCCGGAGAUCCACAGAGGCCGGAGCAGGCGGCGAGGAUCCCGCUCCUGCCGGCCGCGCUGUGGCCUACACCCGGCUGGGUCGCUCCACGUUGCAGCCGCCGUUGCUGCCUGCAAAGAGGGCCAGCCUCCAGCUCGGUCCUUCAGAUCCUCCUUUUCUUGCUCCAGGCGGCCAAGGGCGACAGCGAUCGGCCACCUCCUUAACCCCCUGUGGAACAACACCGCCUCCUGGGCGCGUUGGCUGCGGGCUGCCCCGGGACUUGCACCCUUCCCUAGCUUCUCCUAGCUUCCACCAAGGUUGCACUUUCUCGCUUAGGUUUCAGCAGCUCCGCUCCGAGCAAACCUUCUGCUGCCAGCAGAUAACAUCACGAUCCUGCCCGGAGCAGAGUUUUAUAUGUGCUCCCCAAACCACGUGUUUGCCUUCAACAAAGUGACGCGCUAGGAUUACAGUCAGAAGUCCUCUGUUACUAAGACCACGAGCUCUGGACCAUUGGAGGGGGUGUGGAAAAGGGGACGGCCAGUAAGGGAGGGCGACUGGCAUGAGGAAUUUGCAGUAGUCACUGUCUGUGAUCACCAAGGGUCUGUGUGUGUGGAGGGGCAGGCAGCUAAGCAUCCCGUUUCUACAUGGUGGGGAUCACUCAUUCGCAGCUUCCCUGAGUCCCUCCUGUGUUGAGUGCGUGCCCAUGCAUGUACAGGCGUGUACACACACACACACACACACACACACACACACACACACACACUGUGUUCCAUGGAGCUCCAGAAUACUCAAGGCCAUACCAGCCCAGCCCUGAAGACAUGCCUUCCAAUCUGAGACUGCUGACCUAACUCUUGAGUUCUCCGGGAUUCCACAGGUUGUUUUUCAUUAGUCUGUUUACAACCCAGCCCUGUUUGCCUGUGAACUAGCAGAAUACAGAAGUGCCCCUUUCACCCAAUGCAUGCUCUGUAUCACUGCUUUGAAUAAAGGAACUGUUGCCUUCUUUACGUGAGCCCCU
rnacentral:lncRNA from 1 species